UUUUUAUUCAAAAUUCGAAUAGCGGUUACCGAAAUACACCAUCUUACAAAGUUUCAACUAUGUAGGCCCAACAGUUUCGGAAAUAAAUGUCUGUCCGUCCGUCCGUCCGUCCGUCCGUCCGUAUGUCACAGCCUGUUGGGCCACGAAACUGUUGGGCCUACAUAGUUGAAACUUUGUAAGAUGGUGUAUUUCGGUAACCGCUAUUCGAAUUUUGAAUAAAAAAUUAUAAAUUUAAAAAGUAAAGGGGGGCACUCCAUACAUGGAACUAAUUCAAAAAAAAAAUUUUUUCAGCUUACAUAUCCGUGAUGAGUGUUUAUGGAUAGGUCUUUAAAAAAGACAUUAAGGUUUCUAAAACCACUUUUCGUCAAAAUCAAUCGUUUGAAAGUUAGACGCUUCCAAAGUGGAAAAAUGUGUGUGGGGACACACGAAUCUAUCUUAGAAACGGUAAUACUUAUAGAAAAACUUAUAAGGACCAUUUUGUAGAGAAUUUUGAGAUCUACAAAUUUGGUCUGAGGUAUUUUUUUGAAAAAACUUACGGUUUUUGAGAAAAACUCAAAAAACCUAAAAUGUUGAACUUUGACCUCGAAUAACUUUUGAAGCACAUAUGGGAUCGAUGGGGACUUUUAAAUUUUUAAUCUUUAUAGUAAAAUAAAGGUCUGUACCAAAAUUCAGCUCUGUCGGAA